GAAGAAAAGAGAGAGAGGGACGAAUAAAUUGUAAAGUUUAUCCAGUUUUCACCGACAAAGAACUAAACAAGUUGUUGACUUUAGAUACAUUUUUUUUACUUCCCGGAAUAAAAUCAGUUAUAUUAUUGGGCUUAAAUGUAUUUUUUGGACAAAUCAAGUUGUGAAUAUAUUUGGACCUGAUCCAUAAACAAUUUUUUUUUUCUGUAAACAAAUUUUUUUUAUUUAGUUUGUAGAUUAACGGAUUUUACCAGAUUUUCAUAUACUUUAUUUCUGGGCCUAUUGUGUUUUUAAAUAUAUUUUUUUUAAAACGUACAUAAGUAAACCCCAUUAAUAUUUGGUAUAUACUCAAUAAAUGUUCUGAAAAAUGUUAUUCUUAAUUUUGAAUAUG
rnacentral:lncRNA from 1 species